rnacentral:rRNA from 2 species
UACGGAGGGGGCUAGCGUUGUUCGGAAUUACUGGGCGUAAAGCGCGCGUAGGCGGCUUUGCAAGUCAGAGGUGAAAGCCCGGGGCUCAACCCCGGAAUUGCCUUUGAGACUGCAUCGCUAGAACGUCGGAGAGGUAAGUGGAAUUCCGAGUGUAGAGGUGAAAUUCGUAGAUAUUCGGAAGAACACCAGUGGCGAAGGCGACUUACUGGACGACUGUUGACGCUGAGGUGCGAAAGCGUGGGGAGCAAACAGG